GUGUUCGCUUCAGCAGCACAUACACUAAAAUUGGAAUGAUACAGAGAAGAUUAGCAUGGCCC
rnacentral:snRNA from 1 species